rnacentral:rRNA from 1 species
UAGGGAAUCUUCCACAAUGGACGCAAGUCUGAUGGAGCAACGCCGCGUGAGUGAAGAAGGUUUUCGGAUCGUAAAGCUCUGUUGUUGGUGAAGAAGGAUAGAGGUAGUAACUGGCCUUUAUUUGACGGUAAUCAACCAGAAAGUCACGGCUAACUACGUGCCAGCAGCCGCGGUAAUACGUAGGUGGCAAGCGUUGUCCGGAUUUAUUGGGCGUAAAGCGAGCGCAGGCGGAAGAAUAAGUCUGAUGUGAAAGCCCUCGGCUUAACCGAGGAAUUGCAUCGGAAACUGUUUUUCUUGAGUGCAGAAGAGG